UACGAAGGGGGCUAGCGUUGCUCGGAAUCACUGGGCGUAAAGCGCGCGUAGGCGGUUUGUUAAGUCAGGGGUGAAAGCCUGGAGCUCAACUCCAGAACUGCCCUUGAUACUGGCAAUCUCGAGUCCGGAAGAGGUAAGUGGAACUCCGAGUGUAGAGGUGAAAUUCGUAGAUAUUCGGAAGAACACCAGUGGCGAAGGCGGCUUACUGGUCCGGUACUGACGCUGAGGUGCGAAAGCGUGGGGAGCAAACAGG
rnacentral:rRNA from 1 species